ACGCUCGACACCUACGGGAGCAGCAGUCGGGAAUAUUGCGCAAUGGAGGAAACUCUGACGCAGUGACGCCGCGUGCAGGAAGAAGGUUUUCGGAUUGUAAACUGCUUUAGACAGGGAAGAAGAAGUGACAGUACCUGUAGAAUAAGCUCCGGCUAACUACGUGCCAGCAGCCGCGGUAAUCUGAGCGGGCUGGCAAGGC
rnacentral:rRNA from 1 species